AUACAGACGGCAGGAGAGAAAAGUAAGCGGUUGUAUGAUCGGACUGCUAGAGAAGCCCCUCUACUGCCAGGAGAGAGGGUGUUGGUGAGAGAUAAUCGGCGGCAGGGGAAGGGGAAACUGAGUGACCGUUGGGAGGCCACCCCUUAUGUAGUCUGCCGGCAGCAGAGGCCGGGACAGCCGGUCUAUACCAUCCGGCCAGAAGGGAAGUCAGGCCCCGACCGUGUGGUGCACCGGAACAUGAUUCGCCCAUGCCCUAACUACCCUGAAGCCGUGGAAGAAGUCCCCACGGAACCUGUACCAGCGGCCCCCUGGAUUGAAGGUUGGGCUGUGGUACCAGGGAGACCCGUGGUGGCACCACCCCCGAUCGCCCCGAGAGAACCAGAAGCAGCCCCUGAACAAGCUGAGCCCGAUUCACCAGUGAGACGAUCCCAGCGAGAGAACCGAGGCCGACCCCCUGCCCGCUAUGGUGAGUGGACAGCCCGAGGACGUUCUAGGGACUAGAACGGAUUGGCGGGGGAGGAUGUCACAAGGUGACGAUCUUUAGGGGCGGAACCAAAAUUCGGGAAGUUUGGUUCCGCCCGGGAGUGUUUCCGCCCGGACCGGAAAAACAGAACACCGGAACUUCCGGUAGCGCCGUAAGAGGGAAAAUCAGGGAAUUCGAUGCACCUGUGCCUAGUUAGGGACAGCGGUUGGUGAUUGGAGGAUACGCUGGACAAGGCAGUACUUAAGGCCAAGUUAUUUCACAGUCUGGGAGCUCUUUCUGGCUGGAAUUGUAUGAUUGUGAAGACAUCGCGAACCUUAAAGGUUGAGAAGUGAACGGAUUAUUCGGCGAAUUGAGACGACGUGAAAAAGGGGAUUGGAAGCGGCAUUGAUGUGAGUACUAAGAGCAAGCCGAAAGUGCCCUGUAUAUUGACCUGGCGUUGUGUAGAUCUCCCCAGGAGGUGGAGGGCGGCCCUACCCCUAAUAUAGCGUGGUGGGAGAGCCGAAGGAAUACUUAUUGAAGUAGUCACAACGACGACAUCACUAGCUAGGCCGCAUAUUCCAUCGCCAGAUCCGAACCAAGCGAAGUGAAGGAAGACGGGUGUCCUUUUCGUACACUGAGUGUGGUGGGUGAGUCUUCGUGCUGUGAAAACCUAUAAUUUUGACGUGGUGCUGUAUAUUGCUGUGGGUUGCUGUGUAUUGCCGUGUGUCCUGUCAGAUAAACCCCCGCCUUCACGCACUCCGCCGCGGGAGGACAAGGAGACUGCUGGUUCUAGCCUAGUUCAGUACAGUAUAUGUUGUGAGCGUGCUUCAGAUCUCCGGAGAUAGCACAGUACGCUGUGUUCAGCCCAGAGGUGAGAGCCAUUCAAAGCAAACUAACUGUGCUUUGUGUCCAAUCUGAUACCUGCGGAGAGAAAAGGAAAGAGAGAGUGAGUAACACAAGGAGAAACAGAGGAAACCUGUACUUACAGUACGCUGUGUUCAGCCCAGAGGUGAGAGCCAUUCAAAGCAAACUAACUGUGCUAUUGUGCCCAAGUUGAUACCUGUGGAGAGAAAAGGAGAGAGAGUGAAUAACACGAGGAGGAAUAGAGCGAACCCUGUACUUACAGUACGUUGUGUCCAGCCCAGAGGUGAAAGCCAUCCAAAGCAGAGUAACUGUGUUUUGUGUCCAAGUUGAUACCUGUAGAGAGGAGGAGAGAGAGUGGAUAACGCGAGGAGAAAUAGAGUGAAACCUGUACUUACAGUACGCUGUGUCCAGCCCAGAGGUGAGAGCCAUUCAAAGCAAACUAACUGUGCUAUUGUGCCCAAGUUGAUACCUGUGGAGAGAAAAAAAAGGAGAGAGAGUGGGUAACACGAGGAGAGACCGAGGAAACCUGUACUUACGCCGAUGCCUGUGGAGAAAGAGAAAGCGAGUGAGCACCCAAGGAACGAACUGUGUGAACCAGUACUUACUGUGAGCUGAAAUCAGUGAAGAGGUGAGAGCAAAACCAAGCCGAAUUAACUGUGCCUUUGCGUCCCAGCCGUUGCCUGUGGAGGAAGAGAAAGAGAGUGAGCACCCCGAGAACGAACUGUGUGAACCAGUACUUACCGUGAGUUGUAUUCAGCGAAGAGGAGGAAGAAGGAGGGCGCUACGGAUACCUAAGACUCUGGCCUGGCCCCGAGCCCCACGCCCCGGAUCCCCGUGGCCCCCUUGCUCCCUGACCUCUUCCCGGCCAUAGCCCAUCUGGAGGACCGAGUCAGAGUUUAGUUUUAAUUGCCCUUUCCCUAUUCCCCAAGCUAUUUUUAAAUAUUUAAAUAAAGAUUGUUUUAUCACUUA